rnacentral:rRNA from 1 species
GAUGAACGCUGGCGGCGUGCCUAAUACAUGCAAGUCGAGCGAACAGACGAGGAGCUUGCUCCUCUGACGUUAGCGGCGGACGGGUGAGUAACACGUGGAUAACCUACCUAUAAGACUGGGAUAACUUCGGGAAACCGGAGCUAAUACCGGAUAAUAUAUUGAGCCGCAUGGUUCAAUAGUGAAAGACGGUUUUGCUGUCACUUAUAGAUGGAUCCGCGCCGCAUUAGCUAGUUGGUAAGGUAACGGCUUACCAAGGCAACGAUGCGUAGCCGACCUGAGAGAGUGAUCGGCCACACUGGAACUGAGCCACGGUCCAGACUCCUACGGGAGGCAGCAGUAGGGAAUCUUCCGCAAUGGUCGAAAGCCUGACGGAGCAACGCCGCGUGAGUGAUGAAGGUCUUCGGAUCGUAAAACUCUGUUAUUAGGGAAGAACAAAUGUGUAAGUAACUAUGCACGUCUUGACGGUACCUAAUCAGAAAGCCACGGCUAACUACGUG